rnacentral:rRNA from 1 species
CUACGUGCCAGCAGCCGCGGUAAUACGUAUGUCACGAGCGUUAUCCGGAUUUAUUGGGCGUAAAGCGCGUCUAGGUGGUUAUGUAAGUCUGAUGUGAAAAUGCAGGGCUCAACUCUGUAUUGCGUUGGAAACUGUAUAACUAGAGUACUGGAGAGGUAAGCGGAACUACAAGUGUAGAGGUGAAAUUCGUAGAUAUUUGUAGGAAUGCCGAUGGGGAAGCCAGCUUACUGGACUGCAACUGACACUGAGGCACGAAAGCGUGGGUAGCAAACAGGAUUAGAUACCCUGGUAGUCCACGCCGUAAACGAUGAGUGCUAGGUGUUAGACCCUUUCCGGGGUUUAGUGCCGUAGCUAACGCAUUAAGCACUCCGCCUGGGGAGUACGACCGCAAGGUUGAAACUCAAAGGAAUUGACGGGGGCCCGCACAAGCGGUGGAGCAUGUGGUUUAAUUCGAAGCAACGCGAAGAACCUUACCAGGUCUUGACAUCCCUCUGACCGCUCUAGAGAUAGAGCUUUC